ACUGUGGGGACGAAAGUCUCUGCUUUUAACUAGAUAGCAACUUUCAGCAGUGGAUGUCUAGGCUCGCACAUCGAUGAAGAACGCUGCGAACUGCGAUACGUAAUGCGAAUUGCAGGAUUCAGUGAGUCAUCGAAAUUUUGAACGCAUAUUGCACUUCCGGGUUAGUCCUGGGAGUAUGCCUGUAUCAGUGUCCGUACACUAAACUUGGCUCCCUUCCUUCCGUGUAGUCGGUGGA
rnacentral:rRNA from 1 species